rnacentral:rRNA from 1 species
GGGGCAGCACGGGUAGCAAUACCUGGUGGCGACCGGCAAACGGGUGCGGAACACGUACGCAACCUUCCCAAAACUGGUGAAUAGCCCUCCGAAAGGAGGAUUAAUACACCGUAACAUAAUGAAGUGGCAUCACUUUAUUAUUAUAGCUCCGGCGGUUUUGGAUGGGCGUGCGCCUGACUAGGUAAUUGGCGGGGUAACGGCCCACCAAGCCUGCGAUCAGUAACUGGUGUGAGAGCACGACCAGUCACACGGGCACUGAGACACGGGCCCGACUCCUACGGGAGGCAGCAGUAAGGAAUAUUGGUCAAUGGACGAAAGUCUGAACCAGCCAUGCCGCGUGAAGGAUGAAGGCCCUCUGGGUUGUAAACUUCUUUUAUAUGGGACGAAAAAAGGGAAUUCUUUCUCACUUGACGGUACCAUAGGAAUAAGCACCGGCUAACUCCGUGCCAGCAGCCGCGGUAAUACGGAGGGUGCAAGCGUUAUCCGGAUUCACUGGGUUUAAAGGGAGCGUAGGUGGGCAAGUAAGUCAGUGGUGAAAUCUUUGGGCUUAACCCGAAAACUGCCAUUGAUACUAUUUGUCUUGAAUAUCCUGGAGGUAAGCGGAAUAUGUCAUGUAGCGGUGAAAUGCUUAGAUAUGACAUAGAACACCCAUUGCGAAGGCAGCUUACUACGGGAUUAUUGACACUGAGGCUCGAAAGCGUGGGGAUCAAACAGGAUUAGAUACCCUGGUAGUCCACGCCCUAAACGAUGGAUACUCGACAUCAGCGAUACACUGUUGGUGUCUGAGCGAAAGCAUUAAGUAUCCCACCUGGGAAGUACGACCGCAAGGUUGAAACUCAAAGGAAUUGAC